rnacentral:rRNA from 1 species
GUGGGGAAUUUUGGACAAUGGGGGCAACCCUGAUCCAGCCAUGCCGCGUGCGGGAAGAAGGCCUUCGGGUUGUAAACCGCUUUUGUCAGGGAAGAAAUCCUUUGGGUUAAUACCUCGGAGGGAUGACGGUACCUGAAGAAUAAGCACCGGCUAACUACGUGCCAGCAGCCGCGGUAAUACGUAGGGUGCGAGCGUUAAUCGGAAUUACUGGGCGUAAAGCGUGCGCAGGCGGUUUUGUAAGAUCGAUGUGAAAUCCCCGGGCUCAACCUGGGAACUGCAUGGGUGACUGCAAGGCUGGAGUGCGGCAGAGGGGGAUGGAAUUCCGCGUGUAGCAGUGAAAUGCGUAGAUAUGCGGAGGAACACCGAUGGCGAAGGCAAUCCCCUGGGCCUGCACUGACGCUCAUGCACGAAAGCGUGGGGAGCAAACAGGAUUAGAAACCCUGGUAGUCC